GUAGGAAGGUCAGGGAAGGGAGCUAUUUGAGAGUGAAGGAGGAGGAAGAAUCAUAUAUAAUAUUUGGUAGAAGCUGUGAUUGAUGUUCCAGUGAAAUAUGUGGAUGGAAAUGCCCAGGAGACAGCUAGAGAUGCCUGGCUAGACCCAAGAGAGUUUGAGCCUGGGAUACAUAUUUCGGAGUCCUUCCCAUAAAGCUAAUAGCUAAAGUCGAUAUGGAAGAGAAGACAGUGAAGAGCAGAGCCUUAGGCAACACCCACAUUCUGGAGAUUUAUUUUAUCAUGUUACCUAGAAUGUUCCUCCAUCUCCUAUUAAGCACCCCUCUCUCAAACUGAAGUUGCAGCUUAAGAAUUACUUGCCUCUUUCCCCACAUUUAUAAUCCCUGCCCCCUGUUGCAGAUGCAGAACAGCAACCCAAGUCCCUUCUGGAAGCAGCCCUCUCCCUCCUGGCAGCUGACAGAAGUCUCUCUGGCCAGGCCGGCCUUUUGGCUGCUCUGCAUAUGGAAGUUCAAUUACUGUCAAUGGGAGGCCCAUCGGCAGGGUGAGGGCAGAAUACACAAUGGAGAUCGGUGUACCAGAUAGGCGCCUAGAUCAAAGAAGAACCCAGAGUUUGUGAAGUCCUUUCAUCCUCCCUGAUGAAAGGGAGAAGCUUACUGCUGUUUUCAUGGCUCUGCAUGCCCGGGGAAAGAGGAAGGCCACAGGAAGGUGACAGCUGAGGCAGGUCUGGCUCCUGGAGGAUGGGACACACAACGUGGGAACCGGCAAGUCACCAGAGUCAUCUCAGCCAAGAUCAACCAAUAGUCAAUUACCAGGAACGUGAGAGAAUUCUGAGACCAGGACUGCUCAGCCACCUCUGCCUAAAAUACCAACACACAGAACAGUAAAGUGAAUGGAUGUUUAUUAUCCUAAGCCACUAUAUUUUGAGAUUGUACCUCAUGCAGCACUAUUAUGACCAUAGGUGACUGAUAUAAAAAGUAAGGAAUUAUGAAUCAUAAGAAAAAGAUGAACCAAGGAAAGAAUCAGCUUUGAAGAGGUGGUAAACUAUGGGAGUUGGGUAUGCUUUUCUGCAAUGAUCUUGUCUUAUUUUCUUUUUUUUUAAAGGAAGGCCUACCUGAAUAAUUCUGUGCAGGAAGAUAAAAGCAAGAUUAGAGUGAGACCUAUUCAGGGAGGUGUCAUUUUGUGAGCAGUUCAUGACCAUACCCAAUAAUCAGGGUCUGUCUACAUAUCUGAAUUUUAAUCCUUACAUAUAUGGCCUUAGAUGAACUAAAAUAAUUAUAAGAAGUUGUGUCAUUGUAGACUUCUAUUAAUAAACAUAUACCUACAUAUAUACAUGUUUAUGCACAAGAAUCAGCCUGUAUAGGCAUAUUUACCUAGGCAUAUUCAUUGCAUAGUGCUCUCAUGGUUGUGACUUGGGUGGGUGUAGCAAAGUGACAGGCCAGGAUCUCACCACAUAGGAAGAACUUUGGUCUGGCCAAGACAGGGCCAGCUAGUGGCCUCCCUGCCAUUAGCUCUGUCUGCCACCCAAGACAGAAGAAGCCAACAGUCCAAAGGGACAUAGCAGCUUCAUUUUGGUUCUAGUUAGUGGUGCCAUAGAAGAGGAACAGGCAGAUAGGAUCUCAUCUAGGCCAUGAGACAAGCAAGAGUUCUCAAGAAGGGUAGACUCUUAGAAACAGGAGGCCAGUGAGACAUGGAUCUAAGAGGCAUAGCCAGGUAGAAGCAGCCCUAGUCAAUGGCUAGAAGUAUAAUAUCCCAAUAAAAGAGGCAUUCUUAGAAAGCUGGGCAGCAUCUCAGGACCACACAUGAUUGGGGAAAAGGGGUUGGUGAGGGGCAGACCCAGCCAGUUAGGCCUGUAGGUGCUGGGACAGGGUGGGGGAUGCAUUGUACCCACAGAAUAAAGCCAUAAGGGUGAAUAGCAAGAGCCACAUUGUGGAUCACCCUGGAGCAGGUGUCAGAGUGAAGCCUGACAUAUGGAAGCUCUAGGAACACAAUGGUAACCAGGGGAAUAGAGGAAGAAAGAGAGGUUUCAAGGCCUCAGUAAAGCUGAGACUCAGGAACAGCAGGUGUGCACAAGUGCUAAGUGGUCUGGAUUAAUUCACGAGCUGGGUGCCAAUGCCUGGCUCAGCUUCUAUGGGCUCCUGGAGGAUCCUUAAGAGGUGAUAAAGUUCAGGUAAAGACAGUGGACUGGGACCAGGCAGAGCCUGGGAUCCUGGGGUCAUAUCCAGCCCAUUACCAAAUCCUGUCAAUUAAACUUCCAAAAUGUCUCUGAGAUCUGCCUGGGGCUCUCAGCAUCUUUCCCACCAUUGUCUCUUGUCUUGAUUUAGGCAGUGGUCCUUACUUGUCUUCCUGUACGGCUGCCAGAGGGGAAUUUUAAAUAUAUAGUUUGGAUUGCAUCAUUCUCCCUGUUUAAAACCCUCCAAGGCUUUCUGGAUUCUUUCCCAAUAGUUUCAAACACUUUACUCUGAGCGUCUUUGUCCCAUGCAUGCCAUUCUCCCCCUUUCUUGCAGCUGCAGACACAGUGACCAGGCCUUGGUUGUAUGAUGCCUCCAGCUCGUU